rnacentral:rRNA from 1 species
UACAGAGGGGGCAAGCGUUGUUCGGAAUUACUGGGCGUAAAGGGCGCGUAGGCGGCCUGCUAAGUCGAACGUGAAAUCCCCGGGCUCAACCCGGGAACUGCGUCCGAUACUGGCAGGCUUGAAUUCGGGAGAGGGAUGCGGAAUUCCAGGUGUAGCGGUGAAAUGCGUAGAUAUCUGGAGGAACACCGGUGGCGAAGGCGGCAUCCUGGACCGAAAUUGACGCUGAGGCGCGAAAGCCAGGGGGAGCAAACGGGG